rnacentral:rRNA from 1 species
GAUAAACGCUGGCGGCGUGCCUUAUGCAUGCAAGUCGAACGGUUCCGAUUUAUCGGGAUAGUGGCGAACGGGUGAGUAAGGCAUAAGUAACCUGUCCCCAAGUAGGGAAUAACUCUGAGAAAUUGGGGCUAAUACCGUAGUGUUGGUGGGGGUAAUGCCUCACCAGUAAAGCCUUAGGGCGCUUGGGGAGGGGCUUGUGUCCGAUUAGCUAGUUGGUAGGGUAACGGCUUACCAAGGCGAUGAUCGGUAGCUGGUUUGAGAGGAUGAUCAGCCACACUGGGACUGAGAUACGGCCCAGACUCCUACGGGAGGCAGCAGCAAGGAAUAUUGUGCAAUGGGCGAAAGCCUGACACAGCGACGUCGCGUGAGGGAUGAAGGCCUUCGGGUUGUAAACCUCUUUUCUCAGGGAAGAAUAAUGACGGUACCUGAGGAAUAAGUCUCGGCUAACUACGUGCCAGCAGCCGCGGUAAUACGUAGGAGGCUAGCGUUAUCCGGAUUUAUUGGGCGUAAAGAGGGCGUAGGCGGCCUUUCAAGUCGGAUGUAAAAUCUCCCGGCUCAACUGGGAGGGACCAUGCGAUACUGUUAGGCUAGAGGGCAGCAGAGGGAGGUGGAAUUCCCGGUGUAGUGGUGAAAUGCGUAGAUAUCGGGAGGAACACCAGUGGCGAAGGCGGCCUCCUGGGCUGUUGCUGACGCUGAGGCCCGUAAGCGUGGGGAGCAAACAGGAUUAGAUACCCUGGUAGUCCACGCUGUAAACUAUGGACACUAGGUAUGGGGGGUAUCGACCCCCUCCGUGCCGAAGCUAACGCUUUAAGUGUCCCGCCUGGGGAGACGGUCGCAAGACU